CCGAUGCUCACUUGUUGGUAGUGUGGGGUUAACCUGCUAGUCGCCUUCGGGCAUCACUCACGGCCAAGUCGCGCUCAGACAAAGACGGGCAGGAUGGUGACCGAGUUCUUACGGUCAUGCCUACCUCAUCAAUAAACGUCAGAGAGAGAA